UUUCCCUCCGUCACACUCCGCGCCCGAUCCUAUCGGAAAAACACCGUUAGUAUACCUACCAACUACAUUAUUACCUGAACUUUAACGAAAGUUCAGGGUUAGUGACUUGGUAUUGUGCAAAACAAGUUUACAUCAUAUAAACUUAAUGUGUAGCUUACUUUUGUGGUUCAGUAUACGUUUGUGCCGGAGACGGGAAGGUCAUAUCGACUUGACAUUCUUUGUUAAAAAUGUCUCGUUACCUAAGAACCGCAUUUGUGUUUCUGACCAUGCUGUACUGUUUCCUGUACUGCGCACAACUCGGAGUGACUGCCGCCACGAAACCUCUCAAGUGUCCCAAUGACAAGGUACCGCUCAAAAUAGGGGCCAGCGAGGUCUGCAUCCCCAAGAACUACACAGUCACCGAAGAAAAACUAACGUAGUACAAAUGAAGAUAAGACUAGUUUUAACAUUAACCUAUCUAACCAUUAAUAUUAAGUCAUGUGUACAGUUAAUAAAGAUUUAAGUACGUUUA